UACGUAGGUGGCAAGCGUUGUCCGGAAUUAUUGGGCGUAAAGCGCGCGCAGGCGGUCCUUUAAGUCUGAUGUGAAAGUCCACGGCUCAACCGUGGAAGGUCAUUGGAAACUGGGGGACUUGAGUACAGAAGAGGAAAGCGGAAUUCCACGUGUAGCGGUGAAAUGCGUAGAGAUGUGGAGGAACACCAGUGGCGAAGGCGGCUUUCUGGUCUGUAACUGACGCUGAGGCGCGAAAGCGUGGGGAGCAAACAGG
rnacentral:rRNA from 1 species